GCCGGGGUGAGGUAGCUUGGUAGCCUAUAGGCCUGUGGAGCCUAGCGCCCGGGUUCAAAUCCCGGCCCCGGCCCCA
rnacentral:tRNA from 1 species